AUACGGAGGGUGCAAUCGUUAAUCGGAAUUACUGGGCGUAAAGCGUACGUAGGCGGUUCGUUAAGUUAGAUGUGAAAGCCCCGGGCUUAACCUGGGAACUGUAUUUAAAACUGGCGAACUAGAGUUGAGUAGAGGGGAGUGGAAUUUCAGGUGUAGCGGUGAAAUGCGUAGAGAUCUGAAGGAACACCAGUGGCGAAGGCGGCUCCCUGGACUCAAACUGACGCUGAGGUACGAAAGCGUGGGUAGCAAACGGGAUUAGAAACCCUAGUAGUCC
rnacentral:rRNA from 1 species